CGAAAUGCGAUAAGUAGUGUGAAUUGCAGAAUUCAGUGAAUCAUCGAAUCUUUGAACGCACAUUGCGCCCCUUGGUAUUCCAUGGGGCAUGCCUGUUCGAGCGUCAUUUGUACCUUCAAGCUUUGCUUGGUGUUGGGUGUUUGUCUCGCCUCUGCGCGCAGACUCGCCUCAAAACAAUUGGCAGCCAGCGUAUUGAUUUCGGAGCGCAGUACAUCUCGCGCUUUGCACUCAUAACGACGACGUCCAAAAAGUACAUUUUUUACACUCUUGACCUCGGAUCAGGUAGGGAUACCCGCUGAACUUAAGC
rnacentral:misc_RNA from 1 species